rnacentral:rRNA from 1 species
GAUGAACGCUGGCGGCGUGCUUAACACAUGCAAGUCGAACGAACCUUCGGGUUAGUGGCGGACGGGUGAGUAACGCGUGAGAAUCUGCCCUCAGGAGGGGGAUAACGGCUGGAAACGGCCGCUAAUACCCCAUAUGCCGAGAGGUGAAGCGAAUUUCGCCCGAGGAUGAGCUCGCGUCUGAUUAGCUAGUUGGUGAGGUAAUGGCUCACCAAGGCAUCGAUCAGUAGCUGGUCUGAGAGGAUGAUCAGCCACACUGGGACUGAGACACGGCCCAGACUCCUACGGGAGGCAGCAGUGGGGAAUUUUCCGCAAUGGGCGCAAGCCUGACGGAGCAACGCCGCGUGAGGGAUGAAGGCCUCUGGGCUGUAAACCUCUUUUAUCAAGGAAGAAGAUCUGACGGUACUUGAUGAAUAAGCCACGGCUAAUUCCGUGCCAGCAGCCGCGGUAAUACGGGAGUGGCAAGCGUUAUCCGGAAUUAUUGGGCGUAAAGCGUCCGCAGGCGGUCUUGAAAGUCUGUUGUUAAAGCGUGGAGCUCAACUCCAUUUAAGCAAUGGAAACUAGAAGACUAGAGUGUGGUAGGGGCAGAGGGAAUUCCCGGUGUAGCGGUGAAAUGCGUAGAUAUCGGGAAGAACACCAGUGGCGAAGGCGCUCUGCUGGGCCAUAACUGACGCUCAUGGACGAAAGCCAGGGGAGCGAAAGGGAUUAGAUACCCCUGUAGUCCUGGCCGUAAACGAUGAACACUAGGUGUCGGGGGAAUCGACCCCCUCGGUGUCGUAGCCAACGCGUUAAGUGUUCCGCCUGGGGAGUACGCACGCAAGUGUGAAACUCAAAGGAAUUGACGGGGGCCCGCACAAGCGGUGGAGUAUGUGGUUUAAUUCGAUGCAACGCGAAGAACCUUACCAGGGUUUGACAUCCUGCGAAUCCCUUGGAAACUUGGGAGUGCCUUCGGGAGCGCAGUGACAGGUGGUGCAUGGCUGUCGUCGGCUCGUGUCGUGAGAUGUUGGGUUAAGUCCCGCAACGAGCGCAACCCACGUCUUUAGUUGCCAGCAUUGAGUUGGGCACUCUAGAGAGACUGCCGGUGAUAAACCGGAGGAAGGUGUGGAUGACGUCAAGUCAUCAUGCCCCUUACAUCCUGGGCUACACACGUACUACAAUGCUACGGACAAAGGGCAGCAAACUCGCGAGAGCUAGCAAAUCCCAUAAACCGUGGCUCAGUUCAGAUCGUAGGCUGCAACUCGCCUACGUGAAGGAGGAAUCGCUAGUAAUCGCAGGUCAGCAUACUGCGGUGAAUACGUUCCCGGGCCUUGUACACACCGCCCGUCACACCAUGGAAGUUGGCCAUGCCCGAAGUCGUUACUCCAACCCUUGUGGAGGAGGAUGCCGAAGGUGGGGCUGAUGACUGGGGUG